rnacentral:snoRNA from 1 species
GUUCCCAGUGAUGGUUUAAAUUAACCAUGCUAAUACUGAUGUCUUCUGACGAGUAAAAAAUACUGUACUGAGGGAACC